UGCUAGAAGUCCAACUACCCUGAGGCCACUGCACUGUGAGGAAGCCACACCACACAGACAGGCCCUAGAUGGGUGCUCUAGUCAACAGUGCUCAUCUUCAAAUUCUCCCAGGCUUGGCACCAGACAUAAAGAAAACAAAAGCAAACUAAGAGUCAGAUGAACUGACCUAGCGCUGUUUGCAAAGAACGCCAGCCAGAAGGAAAUCCCGGCAUGGAGUGGGAAGGCUGUCCAGUGCUCCAUGGCAGAGUCAUUGUGCAGUUACAAGAAAGGGAACACAGUGUUCCGAAGUUGCACAAGGAAUGUAAACAAAACACAUGGAAUCUCUCAGAAUUGGUGCCAACCCCUUGCUGGAGGUUGAGUUCAGAAAAAGCUUUUGUGUAGCAUUUGACUAAGUAGCUUGGCCCCCAAAAUACUAAAAGAAAGUGGUGAAAGCAAUGACUGAGUUUUGCAAGUGUCUAUGCAUUUAAGGUAGUUUAUUUCUUCCUAAGCAAAUGGCUUCCUUGCUUACAUCAGCUCUCAAAUGCUUACUGAGCUACUUAAAAAUUCCGAGGAAAAUUAGAACUAGCUUUUAUAAGGAAAAAUCCCAAAGCU